UACUGUAUAAGCAUGAGACACUUGCAGUGACAGGGCAAUUAUAUUGUGCAUAAGGUGCUCUGUGGUAAGGUUGCUCUUUGAGAGUGUGUGUCAUGGUGGUAGUACAAAUAAGUCCAGUAGUGCAAGGAUAAAGGGAGGGGUUGUGCAUAUGGGCUAAUAAUAUAGCCAGUAAACAGUGUAAACAGUGUAAGCAGUAAACAGUGGGCCAGUGGACAGUCAGUACAUAACUAUUGUUAUAGGAGGUAAGGGAAGUGGUAGAGAG